rnacentral:rRNA from 1 species
UACGAAGGGGGCUAGCGUUGUUCGGAAUUACUGGGCGUAAAGCGCGCGCAGGCGGUUUCUCAAGUCAGUGGUGAAAGCCCGGAGCUCAACUCCGGAACUGCCAUUGAAACUGUGAAACUUGAGGACGAGAGAGGUGAGUGGAAUUCCCAGUGUAGAGGUGAAAUUCGUAGAUAUUGGGAAGAACACCGGUGGCGAAGGCGGCUCACUGGCUCGUUUCUGACGCUCAGGCGCGACAGCGUGGGAGUC